CCUACGGGAGACAGCAGUGAGGAAUAUUGGUCAAUGGACGAGAGUCUGAACCAGCCAAGUAGCGUGAAGGAUGACUGCCCUAUGGGUUGUAAACUUCUUUUAUAUGGGAAUAAAAUGUUCCACGUGUGGGAUUUUGUAUGUACCAUAUGAAUAAGGAUCGGCUAACUCCGUGCCAGCAGCCGCGGUAAUACGGAGGAUCCGAGCGUUAUCCGGAUUUAUUGGGUUUAAGGGGAGCGUAGGUGGAUUGUUAAGUCAGUUGUGAAAGUUUGCGGCUCAACCGUAAAAUUGCAGUUGAAACUGGCAGUCUUGAGUACAGUAGAGGUGGGCGGAAUUCGUGGUGUAGCGGUGAAAUGCUUAGAUAUCACGAAGAACUCCGAUUGCGAAGGCAGUUCACUGGACUGCAACUGACACUGAGGCUCGAAAGUGUGGGUAUCAAACAGGAUUAGAUACCCCUGUAGUC
rnacentral:rRNA from 1 species